AUAUUUACUGGGCAGGGGAGAUACCAUGAUGAAGAAAGUGGUUUUCCCAGGGCGAUGCUUACCCACUGCACUCUGAAUAUGCUGAAAUUGUGAUUUCUCCAAAUGUGGGAUAGUAGACUAUAUAAUUUGUGGUAAUGGAGGACUGCUAUCUUGUUUUCCCCUA
ensembl:snRNA U1 U1 spliceosomal RNA